ACGACCAUAUCACGUUGAAUGCACGCCAUCCCGUCCGAUCUGGCAAGUUAAGCAACGUUGAGUCCAGUUAGUACUUGGAUCGGAGACGGCAGUAGUAUGGAACGACAGAAAUGCCCCAGGCC
rnacentral:rRNA from 13 species